rnacentral:lncRNA from 1 species
AAUAAAUGUAACUAUUUUAACUGAAAUUAUAUAAAUACCUAAUAAUUUUUGUAUAGUAUAUAUAAAACUAAUAUAUUUUAUCAAAAUUUAUGUACAAAUAUCUAAUUUUAUAUCGGAACCAAUGUAAAUCAGAAAUGUUUGCAUUGUUUUCCUAAUGUAAAUGGCCACAAAAACAAUCAUACAUGCAAACCAAAUAGAUCACUAUAGCCUAUAGGUUCGUGUAUUUCAUUAUGGACAUAAUCAUAAUAAACAUUAGUAUAAUAUAGAUUUUUUGUAAUUAAAAAUGUUGAACAGUCUUGUAACUAUUUUAGUUAUUUGUUUGAAUAUCUUUUUUU